ACAUUUCAGGCGAGGCAAGGCGCAUCUCAAACAAGCCUUUUGUUUUCCUCGCGCAGAAGUGAUUAACCGCGCGCGCAAGCAUCAGUUGUACGCUCGGUUAUUAAUGGCAGUGAAAUGCCGCCAUAGUGAUGUGGGUUCACUGUGUGUGAGAGAGAACAUGAUCUUUACGCUAUUUAUAUGUUACAGUGUCUUAAUGAUUGUAACUGAAGGAGCAUCAGUGAAAGUUCAUCCAGGAGGAAACACAACACUUCCCUGUAGCAUUAAAAAUGAUACAGAGAUUAACUGGAUCAUUACGAAUGGAAACCAAACAUUUGUAAGAAUUCUGAAACUAGAAUAUCUUUAUGGAGGUAAAUUUAAACCAGAGCCCUCCAUUAUUCACCCCAGUUAUGCAGGUCGGAUAACAGCACUCAUUUCUCCCAUAAACACUCACUCUCUGCUUCUGAUGAACAUCUCUGACACUGAUCUCAUGCUCUACUGCUGCAUGGACUUCACACUUGAACAAUCUCACUGCACAAAGCUGGACUAUCAAGGUGAUGUAGAUUUCAGCACUAAAGAUGUUGAUCAGGAUACAGAUACUAUCAGUCAUGAAUCAGUGAUCAUCAAGAUCGUCUUAUGGCUGCCUGUCAUCUGUGUGCUUCUGCUACUGUUACUGGUGUCAAGUGUCUAUGUGUGUUGGAGAGGAACAGGACUGUGGAAAGGUUGUGGAAAAACUAAUAACCUGAACCAGGACUGGAUUCACAAUAGUGUUAAGGGUAAAAUGGGACAAGAUGAUUGGACACUGGUUGAAGUUUUGUAUACACCGAUACCUUAAUUGAUUAUUUCAAAAUUCUUUUAUUCACUUAUCUUCACCUUUUGUCUUUAAUACAAUGUGUCUCUUUGAUAAUCAGAGUAGUUUUAUAACCCCUGUUUUCAGAUGUACUUCAAUGUGCAGAUGCAGAUGUGCAGAUUGCUAUGAAUUGUAACACUUAACUGUUUAUGUCAAUGCUUUAUGUCAAUACUUUAAAUAUCUAACUUAUGUACAUGAAUAAUGACAAUACUUGCAAUGGCCUAUACUGUUGCAUUUUAUUGUGACUAUAAGGUAUCAAAAAGCUCCUCUCUCACAGCAGCCUUUUCACAGUGUUUCCUGUCUCUGAUUGUAGACUAAAUUUAGCUCUUGUGCCAGCAAUUACAAAAGCAAGUCGUCUCACACACAAUGAACAGAGACACUCUUUUUAGAGAAAUACUUCUAAUAAAUUGAUAGCAG
ensembl:lncRNA